rnacentral:snoRNA from 1 species
AACCCAUGUGAGGGCAUCUUCUCAAUAAAUCUUUUUAUCUCUCCCAUGCAUCAUAAAGUGUUUCUAAAUCCAUUUGUACAAAAUAAGAGAUAUCAUUCCUCAACUU